AAAUUAGUCAGAAUGUUCAUCUUGAUGAUAUCUAGGUCAGGUUCGAAAGUGGGUCACGUGCCAUCAAAAACUAGGUCAGUAGGUCAAAUGAUAGAAAAACCUUGUGACCUCUCUAGAGGCCAUAUUUUUCAUGGGAUCAGUAUGAAUAUUGGUCUGAAUGUUCAUCUUAAUGAUAUCUAGGUCAAGUUUGAAACAGGGUCAUGUGCGGUCAAAAACUAGGUCAGUAGGUCUAAAAAUAGAAAAACCUUGUGACCUCUCUAGAGGCCAUACUUGUGAAUGGAUCUCCAUAAAAAUUGGUCAGAAUGUUCAUCUUGAUGAUAUCUAGGUCAAGUUUGAAAGUAGGUCAUGUGCCAUCAAAAAGUGGGUCAGUAGGUCAAAUAAUGAAAAAACGUUGUGACCUCUCUAGAGGCCAUAUUUUUCAUGGGAUCUGUAUGAAAGUCGGUCUGAAUGUUGAUCUUGAUGAUACAUAGGUCAGGUUUGAAACUGGGUCAACUGCGAUCAAAAACUAGGUCAGUAGGUCUUGAAAUAGAAAAACUUUGCGACUUCUGUAGAGGCCAUACCCUUGAAUUGAUCUUCAUGAAAAUUGGUCAGAAUGUUCACCUUGAUGAUAUCUAGGUCAAGUUUGAAAUGGGUCACGUGCCUUAAAAAACUAGGUCAGUAGGUCAAAUAAUAAAAAAAACCUUGUGACCUAUCUAGAGGCCAUACUUUUCAUGGGAUCUGUAUGAAAGUUGGUCUGAAUGUUCAUCUUGAUGAUAUCUAGGUCAAGUUUGAAAUUGGGUCCACUGCGAUCAAAAACUAGGUCAGCAGGUCUAAAAUUAGAAAAAUCUUUUGACCUCUCUAGAGGCCAUAUUUUUCAUGAGAUCUUCCUGAAAAUUCAUGAGAUCUUCAUGAAAAUUCAUGAGAAUGUUCACCUUGAUGAUAUCUAGGUAAAGUUCAAAACAGGGUCACGUACCUUCGAAAACUAGGUCAAUAGGUCAAAUAAUAGAAAAACCUUGUGACCUCUCUAGAGACCAUAUUUUUCAAUGGAUCUUCAUGAAAAUUGGUCAGCAUUUUUAUCUUGAUAAUAUCUAGGUCAACGACGUCAUACUCAAAACUGGGUCAUGUGGGAAGAGGUGAGCGAUUCAGGACCAUCAUGGUCCUCUUGUUUUAACUUGCACACAACUUGUAUCACUAUAAGAUCUUGGUUCCUUUCUUGAACUGGCCAGAUCCCAUUAUGCAAGUAGUCCUACUUUUUCCUACUUUUCCUACUUUUUAGGUCUGUUCCUACUUUUUUCCUACUUUUUUUGAAAAAACUCCUACUAUUCCUACUUUUUUAUCUAAAGAAGAAAAAAUAUGUUAACAAAUGUUGUAAGUCUAUUUGUAUAAUGAAUUUUGUUACAUAAUGUAAGGACUGAUGGUGUACUGGGGAGACUCUAGAGAUAUUUUUAAUAUGCUGCUGAUGACCUCUUCAUUAUAUGAGUUGAAUAUUGACCUUGACAUUGGAGCGUAAGAGGUUGCAGGUAGCUAUGUACAGUGGGGACCUCAAAGCAUCAAGAAAAUAGAAAGACCUGAUAUAUUGUGCUGCUGUGUAAUUGUGAGUAAAUGUACAAGAUUCAGACCCAGAUCCAGAGCUGGAAAGAGGGUGCCCAUGCCCCCACCUCCCCAGUUUGCUGAGAAGUGACCUAUAGUCAUCAAAGUUGCACCCAACUAUUUUGGCUAAGGAUUAAUAUUUUCUCAAAAUUUAGACCCAAAAGUGCACCAGAGGCCUCCAUUUCAUACCUAUAUUUCAAAAUUUUCCAGAGGGAGAACACACUGUCCCUCUGAAAAUCAGGAAAAUACCCCACCCAGUACCUCAAAAUUAAGACCAAAAAUGCACCAGAACCCACCAUUUCAUACUUGUAUUUCAAAAUUUUCCAGGGAUAGAGCACCCUGACCCCCUUAAAAUGACUGGCAUACCUCCUUCCAUACCUCAAAAUUUAGACCAAAAGAAUGCACCAGAGCCCACCAUUUUGUGCCUGUAUUUCAAAAUUUUCAGGGGGGAGCCCUCAGACCCCCCUAAAAUGUCUGGGAGACCUCUUCCCAUACCUAGAAAUUAAGACCUAAAGAUGCACCAGAGCCCACCAUUUCAUACCUGUAUUUCAAAAUUUUCCAGGGGGAGAGCCACCUGACCCCCUGAAAUGACUGGGAUACCUCUUCCCUUACCUCAAAUUUCAGACCAAAAAAUGCUCCAGAGGCCUCCAUUUCAUACCUAUAUUUCACUAUUUUCCAGGGGGAGAACACACUGGCCCCCGAAAAAUAGAAAAGUACCCUUCCCAGUUCCUCAAAAUUAAGACCAAAAAUUGCACCAGAACCCACCAUUUCAUACUUGUAUUUCAAAAAUUUCCAGGGGAAGCGCACCCUGAACCCCCUUAAAAUGACUGGCAUACCUCCUUCCAUACCUCAAAAUUUAGACCAAAAGAAUGCACCAGAGCCCACCAUUUUGUACCUGUAUUUCAAAAUUUUCAGAGUGGGUGGGGAGCCCUCUGACUCUCCUAAAAUGACUGGGAUACCUCCUCCCAUACCUCAAAUUUAGAAGCCCGCCCGCUUAGCUCAGUAGGUAAGAGCGUUGGUCUACGGAUCGCGGGGUCGCGAGUUCGAUCCUCGGGCGGGGCGUAUGUUCUCCGUGACUAUUUGAUAAACGACAUUGUGUCUGAAAUCAUUAGUCCUCCACCUCUGAUAAUUCAUGUGGGGAAGUUGGCAGUUACUUGCAGAGAACAGGUUUGUACUGGUACAGAACCCAGGAACACUGGUUAGGUUAACUGCCCGCCGUUACAUGACUGAAAUACUGUUGAAAAACGGCGUUAAACCCAAAACAAACAAACAAACAAAUCAAAUUUAGACCCAAAAAUGCACCCAGAGCCCACCAUUUCAUACCUGUGUUGCAAAAUUUUCCAGGGUGACAGCCCCCUGACGGUGACCCCCCUAAUAUGACUUGGAUACCUCUUCCCAUACCUAAAAUUUAGACCAAAAAAUGCACCAGAGCCCACCAUUGCAUACCUGUAUUUCAAAAUUUUCCAAAUUUGUUCAAAUCAUGACCCUCCGGGGUCAAAUUGACCCCGCCCCAUGGGGUUACUUGAUUGUACAUAGAAAUAUCUUCAAAAUUUUCUAAAAAUAAAUCAGAAGGCCUAGAGCUUAAAUAUUUGACAUGUAGUAUUGCCUAAUGGACCUCUACAAAAUUUGUUCAAAUCAUAACCCCCUGGGUCAAAAUUGACUCCGACCAAGGGGUCACUUGAUUUUACAUAGGAAAAUCUUCAUAAAUUUUCUAAAAAUAAAUCAGAAGGCCUAGAGCUUAGAUAUUUCACAUGUAGGAUUGCCUAGUGGACCUCUACAAAAUUUGUUCAAAUCAUGACCACCGGGGUCAAAAUUGACCUCGCCCCAGGGGUCACUUAAUUUUACAUAGGAAAAUCUUCAAAAAUUUUCUAAAAAUAAACCAGAAGGCCUAGAUCUUAGAUAUUUGACAUGUAGCAUUGCCUAGAAGACUUCUACAAAAAAAUUUCAAAUUAUGACUCUAAGGGUUAAAUGGACCCUGCCCCAUGGGGUUACUUGACUGUACAUAGAAAAAUCUUCAAAAAUUUCUUAAAAUAAACCAGAAGGCCUAGAUCUUAGAUAUUUGAUAUGUAACAUUGCCUAGUAGACUUCUACACACUUUGUUCAAAUCAUGACCCCGGGGUAAAAUUGGCCCCACCCCAGGGGUUACUUGAUUGUACAUCGGAAAAUCUUCCAAAAAAUUUCUAAUAAUCAUCAGUUUGACAUUUGAAACAUGUAGCUCAUAUUACUCAGGUGAGUCAUCCAGGGUCAUCAUGACCCUCUUGUUAUAAAUUUAUUCAUAGUUUAAUUCAAAGAAGAAAGGACAGACCGCUUCGUUUAUUGAUUUAUCAAAGAUGAUUAAGAACUGGAAGCGAAAAAUUAUAUGGCCGUGUUGACAUUUCGAUAAAGGAUAACCUCCAGCAGUAGGAGAUCUAAAGGUUCACUGCAGUUUUGACUAUGUCCAACAAGUAUUGUGCCCAUACUAUUCUCAGCAAGUAGGGUCCUUGUAUUUUAAGCCAACACAUAAAUGCAGAUUCUUUGGAGUUGCUGCGAAUCCUCAUGCAGGGGCCAUAACUCUGAAAAUAGAGGGCGGAGCCAGACGAAAAAUUGAAGUGAUGUGCAGAUCUUCUAUGAUAGUUACUAUGGUUACCAAGUUCCCAUUUAAAGAUACUACCCUUCAGUCACUGAGCUUCCUGAAACCAGACCGAAGGGAUACUGUCUCACCUGAAGAAGUUGCCAUCUGUUUGUCUGGUUUGUUAGUGUUUCCCUGGUUGAUGAGUAUGAAGGUUAACUUAAUGAACUGACCAAAUCAGAUCAACUAGAGACAUACUGGGCAUCUAUCGGGGAAGUGAAGCUCCACACUGGAAAGGAGAGGUGUCUUGAACUGAGUAAGAUGGCUUUACUUCUCCUGUCACUACCGCACAGCAAUGCUGAUCCAGAGCCGUCCUUCAGCCUACUGAGGAAGAUACAGGCUGACAGCAGGAACAACCCAGCUCUGGAAACCAUUCAGAACUUGAUGUCUGUGAAAAUGAACUAUCACUCUAUAUGUUCAACAUUCUCUUCAUCUCAUGAACUUAUUAGAUAGGAAAAGUCAGCGUAUAAUGUAUACAUUCGUAAGUGAAGACAGCAUAAACAAUGUGUUACUUCUUGAAAUACUAAAUUGUGCUUUUAGUAUUUUAGUAUCUAUAGUUAAUUGGAGAGAACUCUUGUGAUUUGUAUUCAUUGUGAUAUCUGGAUAAGAUAGAACAAAAGAUAAUAUAAAAUUUUGAUUUUGUCUCUAAAAUUGUGUUUUUUGCUCGACAUUAUGAAGUAUAUGGAGAGCUAUCCUACUCACCCCAGCGUCAGCGUCCUGAUCAGGAGAUGACCCCUAUUGAUGUUGAGGUCAGCAGGUCUAAGGUCAAGGUCACAGUGACCUAGAACAGUUAAAUGGUUUCUGGAUGAUAAAUCAAGAAUGCUUAAGCCUAGGAUCAUGAAAAAUGACAGGAAGGUUGAUCAUGACCAGCAGUUGACCCUUAUUGAUUCUGAGUUCAGUAGGGCAAAGGUCAAUGUCACAUUUACCCAGAACAGUAGAACUUUUGUAUCCAAUGACCAAAUAAUUUCUGUUCCUUGUGCAAUUACUGAAUUCAUCAAGGGGACAUUUCGUAUUCUACGAGCUCUUGUUUACUUAGAAUUUCAGGUUAAAGUUUUGAUGCACUGUCACUCUAUCUCAGUUAUUCCUAAAUGGAUCAUAUAGUACAAGGCCCAUAACUCUGGUACCAA